GGUUUCACGUCAAUGUCAGUUUACUGGGAACACCAUGAUGCCAAGGAGCAUUGGUGUUUUCUUUGUGAGAAGAGAGGGCUCUUAGGAAAUGGGCCAAGGGUGAUGAGGGCUGAGAACUUCAGAGGCCGAAGCCAGACGUCUGGCUAGGGAGACAAGCCCCAUUCCCACCGCCAGGACGGCGGAGUUCCUAGGACAGCAGGGUGCUGGGGAAGGAAAGGGAGCUUUAGAACCGUGGCUGCACUCUCUGAACAGGAACUCUUUUUGGUGAAGGCGCUGAAACAGUUCCUUGCCUGGCCGCACGCCCCGCGAAGGAAAGUGGACUCCAAAGUCACAAGGUUCUCGCUCCUGGCUCAGAUGUAGGAUCUGAAGGAGCCUUCUCGGGGCCACUGAUUCAAACCUGGCACUGUGGAAAAAGCAUCUCGUCUCAAUGCUGCAACCAUUUCUGUACCGCUUCCAAAUCCUACAGCCCAGGAGCAGAUGGAAUCAAAUUCGCCCAAAGGCAGUUUGGGAAGACGGGUCGUGGCAGGCGGCACCAGAGAGCCUUCGCGGGCUGGUCUCUGAGCCUGCCUGCAGGGACUGCUGAGAGCCAGCCGUCUCUGGACAGGGCUCCCGGGUCGGCGGAAACAGCCCUCCCCUGGCCACGGACUGGAAGGAGAUGGGGUGAUUGAAGCUUCUUCCAAAAAUGUCACAAGGUCAGGGCAGUCCGUCGCCCCUUUUCCCACGCGCACUGAAGUUCUCGGAUAUUCCAGAAGAGGAGGGAGCCAGAGCCAAGCUGCGGCCAUGCCGCCCGCUCCAUCACCUGCACCAGGCGCGGUGACCCACGGCGGAAGACGCGCCUUGCGAGGCAAGCUGUGUGGACGCUCCCAGGCACUGAGCAGCGCCGCCAGGAAACGUGCUGUGGACAGGCUGUGCCCGGGGGACAGUCUGCGGAUGGAGUCGGGGAGGAUGGCGCCGAGUGUUCCCCGGGUCUGAGUUCUCCGCCAGAACUGUGCUUCCAUGGAACCUUGCGGGGCGCAGGGGCUCCGGCGGGCGCGGAGGGCGCAGAAAGGCGGGAAAGAGCAGCAGAUGCGCAGUCCGGACGGAGCUGGUCGGCCGCGGGGCCCUCGGGCUUCGGAGGCCCCUGUCCCAGGUGGUUCGCAAGGUCGCGUCCGAGGCCAGGGAGUGCACGUCUGCGACGUCAGGGCCGUGAGCGCUCACUUCCCACGCGCUGGCUUGAAGGCAGGAGCACCACAAGGAGUGCGGGACGGCAGUCGUCCCCGUGCAGCCCGCGGCUCCGGGACCCAUUGCUUCCAGCCUCUCCUGCAGGGCUCUCGGGCCGGGUUGGGCUUGCCCCGCGCGCGCCCACGCAGGCGCAGGCCCACAUCGUCGCGCGCACGCGCACGCGCACGCGCACGCGCACGCGCACCCCUCCCGAGGGGCGGGGCUGCACGUCUCCCGGACCCUCCCCCGCAACGGCUCCCAGCUUCCGUUGAGGCUGCCCGCGGGAGAAGGCGCGCCUGCGCGGGCUCGGGGGCGGGGUCGCUAACGGUCCUGCGGCCGGGGGCGGGGCCGCGCGUGGCCACCUGGUGCUGGCGCGAGCUGGGCUUGAUGCGGGCGCGCGCUCCCGGGCGUGCAGGGCUGGCGGCCCGCGGUCCGUGGUGUUCCUGCUUCGCCUUGUGUGCGCCCUUGAGGAGUGGCCCGCGGGGACCGGAGUCCCGGCCGACCCGUGUCUGAGCCUCGCGGCAUGCUGAGGUGGAGCUGCAAACCCACCAGCCACGUGAUGAGCAUGGCCACCAGCUGGCCACAUAGCUGCCUCCUGCCUCCCACCUCCCUUGGACCCACCCAGCAUUUGUGGGCCUUCCUUAUGAAUGGAGCUCUGCCUGCUUUUCUACGUUAAAGAGUAUUCUGAAGAGAAUGCAAUAUAUGUACAAGUACAGAGUAUCUUGGCUGCACCUGGAGUAACAGAGGCUCAGAGGAAGGCUGUCAGCCUCCUGGCAGGAAUCAGAGGUGCCACUGAGGCCCUCGUGCUCCCCCGGCAGCAGCGGUCCUUGCCAUAUGAAGGGAAGGAAGCCUCAGAACUUGGAUUUACAGGACACGAGAGCAUGACACACUUCGGUGUUUCCCCCAGGCUGUGGUAUCACACCUCAAAGACCUUGCUUUCCUGUGAAGAGCCUGGGGGCCAGACUUCACACACACCGUCUGCAAAAGCUUCCUACACCCCCAUUAGGACUCCCUCCAGAAGCUUCCUACGUCACACCCAAAGCAGGAGCCCACAGAGGUGUCCCUGGGCAGGGCCACUAGAGCCGGACCCACCACCAUCCUAAGGCUGCAGCCAGCACGUGCCCGGCUCUGGCCAGCGGCCUUCCAUGAGAACCGGCCCCACUGCUUUCCUAGUCGCCACAUGUCCACGCCGCUCAGGCGGCCCUUACACUCGCCAGUCCCUUAGCUGAGCUCCCUCUUUUGCCAACGCUGCAGCCUCUUACCAUGUGCCUUCACCCAAAACUCCUGCUCUUGAACUUACCUGGACUUUCUUCGUCUUCGGAAUGAAACAGCUGUUUCCUUUCUUGCUGUGUCACGUGUUUAUUUUAGCGAAUUUCUUGUCUCCUCUCCCUUUCCUCCAUGGCUUUAUGCAGGACGCACGAGGACCGCUGACGACCAGACAGGACUGUACUAGGAUUAACAGAGUUCUGACUUCGAGAGGACAAGGACCCCGGGUUUCCAAAUCUCUGUUAUGUAAGAUACUCACACCAGGGGGAGGCCGGGCAAAAGGCAUAUCCAUAUACCUUACGGCACUGCCUUUCCAGCUUUUCUGUAAACCUAAAAUGAUCCGAAAAUAAGCCUUAUCUUAGAUUUUAAAGGUGGGGGGAGGCCACAGAUUUUUUUUCCUUUUGGGGAAAUGACUAUAUGUGGGCCUGUCCGUACGGGGCUCAGGAGCUACGGGGUUGCGGUUCUGCACAGCUGGAGCAGCAGGUUGUAGUUGAGAGGUUUUAACCCUCAUUGGCUCUCAAGAAGUUUUCCUAUUUUUGAAGACUUUUUCACAGUGCAAGUCAACUGGCAGCCACUCCAUCGAAGCUGAAGAGGUCCCUCUCUCCCAUCCCGGCCCGGGCGGCGCGGGCAUGUGGUGAAGCCAGAAACACGCGCAUCCUGGUGUUCGGAGCAUCGGAGCAGCCAGGACGUGUUCAGACAGCGUCAGUACGUCGCACGCAGCGGCAGCAGCACAGGGGCACCUGGCCAGACGACAGCAGGCGAGGCCUUGCUUAAUGCCUGCUGCCUGCUUCCUGGGGGUCCGCGUCUGCUUCUCCAGCCUUCCCUCUGACCUAGUGCGCAGCUCUAUUUCCUGCCAGUAAACUCCUUCCUUGGUGUUAGCCAGCCUUCUCUCCUGCUGCCUGCCGUUGGGAACUCAACGGAUAUGCCCCCCACGGCAGCCGGGGCUUCCCUGCGGACCACCUCUGGGGGUGCCACGCGCACAGAAUACAAAAUGGUGUCCCUGCGGUUCUGCAGUGUGGCGCCACACAGCUAUUUAUUAAUGUGUGUCUAAAGCACGUGACAGAAUAGGGAAAAAAGCAUCUCCUUACUUUAUUACAUAUCUGAACAACACAACAAUGAGGAUACAAGUGCAGCACCUUGAACGUGGGCCUCCUUGCAUCCAUUCCUCUCUCCCACUUACUGGUCUGAAUAAGCCUGGGCAGGUGGCAGUGCAGCCAGACAACAGGCCAGUAUGGGUGACUCUGUUACUGGUCAGGCUCCCAGCUGGAGAAAUAGAAACGUCAUAUAUUCUUCAUAGGCCUGUUGUGAGAAAAAAAAAAAAAGUCACAUAGCACAGUGCAUGGCCCAUAAGAGGCCUAUGAGAAUUGCUCCUUCCUUUUCCAGUGUUGAUAAAAUAAUCAGUUUGUAUGCAGACAAGCUUUUCACCAGAGUGAGAUUAUCUUCAGUUGACACAAUCAUCUGAGCCACGCUGGAUGUUGAAACAGUAUGACCUCAGAAUGCUCGUCCCGAUGUUUCUGGCUUCCACACCCACGAUGCUCACACUGUCGCUCUCCACGUGGGUGAAUCCACUGCGAAAGGAAGGGACGGGCUGUGUGUUAACUUGCGGAAGACACGGAUUUAGGGAGGUAAGUCUUUACACAAAGACGGAACACAACCUCUGGACCUUCUCCAACCUAGCACCCCCCAUCCGUGUUGAGAUCUGCGCUCAUUCUUGACCAUUAGCAAAUACGCUCACAUUCUGGAGUGGGAGUAUCAGCUUUGUGCCCUCCUGAUGGUAGCUGCCCGAAUUACGAUUUCAGGAAGUCUAGAAACUUCCAGUAGACAACAUAUACCUCAUUCAAUCUUGAGAGGGUAGUCACUUCCCCAGAACCGAGAAUCAGGCCAUCAGUUCCCAACCAGUUUCAGUGAAAGACAUCGACACAGGAGCCAUCACUUCCCACGAUGCUGUCUUUGCCCAAGAAGGCAGACUGUGCUGCUCUGAGGCUGACAGCGAGCGAGCCGUGUGGAGACAACCAUGCCAGCCAAACCACACAAAGGACUUGAGUUUCCUGUAAAAGCUGGUUUUGGCUACAGUCUGCUUCUAAAAUAUUGCCACUUUUGGUUUUUGUGAACCACCUUUUAGCUUAGAAUAAAUUCCACACUAAAAACAACAAAAAUAAAGCUGCUAAGAACAUUCA